CACAUGUCAUAUAUGUGUUUCGCUGCAAAGCAUUCUGGACGUCUACCAUGCAGCUUGCUCUAAAACAUCAUUAAACUAGAUAUACGUGUAACAGGAGACAGAAGAAAUACGAUGUUGAGCCGAUCAGUGAUCCUCGUGACUGUUCUGUUUACUGUUAAUCUUACUGAGGCCAGCGAGGACUUAGAAGACGCUUCUCGUGCGUUCGUUAAGAAAAGAAUCGACAGGCGGUCUGUGGCCUCGUGGUUCAGGAAUGGGUGGAAAAAAGUUGAGAAGUUUUUUAAGAAGCUACCGAAGCUCAAUUUGAAUAUAGACAUUGAUGCAAGCUUAAUACCACCAAAACCGCCUAGCAUAAUUAUCAGUGAUAAAGAAACUAACAUGAAGAAAACUACUUCAAAGUCGCAGAAGUCACAACUUUCAGCAAAUUCAUCCGUAACUGGGUCCUAAAAACACUUUUGAAAAUACAUAAAAAUAUGGAAAUGUGUUCCAUUUGUCUUCUUUUGAUGUGUAAGGUAGAUGAGCUGCUGCCUAUAACAUAAACGUGUCGUAACUUAUAACGCCACUAUCUACGA